AAUUCCGUUUGUUCAUUGGCUCUUCCCCUCUCGUCAACUUAUUUCGAUUCCAUACGCGCCAAACAUUGUAGGCCGUGUGACACACUUAACGCAAAUACUUCGAAACAACACGAGCCGUCUAAAAGGAAAGAAGGAACAAUCCCUCUCUCUGUCUCCAAGGCAGCAGGCAGUAAACUGAAAGCACAGCAAGUGUGUUGUUGUAACGAGCAGUGUGCUGGCGCUUCGGCGAUGUGGCUGACGCAGGGCCGGAGGAGCAGCCCCAGGGGCGACAGUGUUUGUGCUGCUGAGGAUGAAUGCAGUGUGAUGAAGACUAGACUCCUUCUGCAUGAACCGGUCCCUUCCUCCGCGCGCGUUAUUUCUUAUAUAGUUUGUAAAUCAGCUUUGUUUGGAUAUUAUUAAUACUUGGGGAAACAAUCUAUAUCACCUUUAUUUGUUGUCAUUGGUCUAACACUGAAAAAAAGCGACUUUUUUUACUUAUUUUUUUUUUUUUUUUUUUAAAUUAUGGUAGUUCAGCAAUGAGUUUCAGAGUGUUUGCUGAAGAAGAUGGUUUUCUUUAAUACUUCGCCCAAAGCAGAUUAUUGGGUUGCUUUUGUUAACCCUCAUUUUUUUCGAAACUUCUAUGAAUAUUUGGAUGACAAGAAUAUGUAAUACAGAAUGCAGCCUC
rnacentral:lncRNA from 1 species